UCCUUCGGGAGUUGUAAUUUGUAGGUUGGGAGACCCCGCGGCUAGUGGCACCAAGUCCCUUGGAACAGGGCGCCUUAGAGGGUGAGAGCCCCGUAGGUACCACGACGCCGUCUUUGUGUCUCCUCUCCAAAGAGUCGAGUUGUUUGGGAAUGCAGCUCAAAGUGGGUGGUAAAUUCCAUCUAAAGCUAAAUACCGGCGAGAGACCGAUAGCGAACAAGUACAGUGAUGGAAAGAUGAAAAGCACUUUGAAAAGAGAGUGAAACAGUACGUGAAAUUGUUGAAAGGGAAGGGCUUGCAAGCAGACACGGCCUCGUGCCGGGCCAGCAUCGGUUGCUAGGGGUGGAUAAGGAGCAAGGAAUGUAGCUCCUCGGAGUAUUAUAGCCUUGCGCGAUACACCCACUGGCGACCGAGGCCUGCGGUAUUCUUUACCUAGGAUGCUGGCGUAAUGGUUGCAAGCCGCCCGUCUUG
rnacentral:rRNA from 1 species